AGUCGAACGGUGAAAGAGAGCUUGCUCUCUGGAUCAGUGGCGAACGGGUGAGUAACACGUGAGCAAUCUGCCCCUGACUCUGGGAUAAGCGCUGGAAACGGCGUCUAAUACCGGAUACGAGCUGCGAAGGCAUCUUCAGCAGCUGGAAAGAACUUCGGUCAGGGAUGAGCUCGCGGCCUAUCAGCUAGUUGGUGAGGUAAUGGCUCACCAAGGCGUCGACGGGUAGCCGGCCUGAGAGGGUGACCGGCCACACUGGGACUGAGACACGGCCCAGACUCCUACGGGAGGCAGCAGUGGGGAAUAUUGCACAAUGGGCGCAAGCCUGAUGCAGCAACGCCGCGUGAGGGACGACGGCCUUCGGGUUGUAAACCUCUUUUAGCAGGGAAGAAGCGAAAGUGACGGUACCUGCAGAAAAAGCACCGGCU
rnacentral:rRNA from 1 species